rnacentral:rRNA from 1 species
GCCACAGCACCGCAUGGUGCAGGGGUAAAAACUCCGGUGGUGUGAGAUGGGCCCGCGUCUGAUUAGGUAGUUGGUGAGGUAACGGCUCACCAAGCCGACGAUCAGUAGCCGACCUGAGAGGGUGACCGGCCACAUUGGGACUGAGACACGGCCCAAACUCCUACGGGAGGCAGCAGUGGGGAAUAUUGCACAAUGGGGGAAACCCUGAUGCAGCGACGCCGCGUGAGCGAUGAAGUAUUUCGGUAUGUAAAGCUCUAUCAGCAGGGAAGAAACUGACGGUACCUGACUAAGAAGCACCGGCUAAAUACGUGCCAGCAGCCGCGGUAAUACGUAUGGUGCAAGCGUUAUCCGGAUUUACUGGGUGUAAAGGGAGCGUAGACGGACUUGCAAGUCUGAAGUGAAAGCCCGGGGCUCAACCCCGGGACUGCUUUGGAAACUGUAGGUCUAGAGUGCUGGAGAGGUAAGUGGAAUUCCUAGUGUAGCGGUGAAAUGCGUAGAUAUUAGGAGGAACACCAGUGGCGAAGGCGGCUUACUGGACAGUAACUGACGUUGAGGCUCGAAAGCGUGGGGAGCAAACAGGAUUAGAUACCCUGGUAGUCCACGCCGUAAACGAUGACUGCUAGGUGUCGGGGAGCAAAGCUCUUCGGUGCCGCAGCUAACGCAAUAAGCA